rnacentral:rRNA from 1 species
CCUACGGGAGGCAGCAGUGGGGAAUUUUGGACAAUGGGCGCAAGCCUGAUCCAGCAAUGCCGCGUGAGUGAAGAAGGCCUUCGGGUUGUAAAGCUCUUUUGUCAGGGAAGAAACGGGUGUGGCUAAUAUCCAUGCCUAAUGACGGUACCUGAAGAAUAAGCACCGGCUAACUACGUGCCAGCAGCCGCGGUAAUACGUAGGGUGCAAGCGUUAAUCGGAAUUACUGGGCGUAAAGCGUGCGCAGGCGGUUUUGUAAGUCUGUCGUGAAAUCCCCGGGCCCAACCUGGGAAUUGCGAUGGAGACUGCAAGGCUAGAAUCUGGCAGAGGGGGGUAGAAUUCCACGUGUAGCAGUGAAAUGCGUAGAGAUGUGGAGGAACACCGAUGGCGAAGGCAGCCCCCUGGGUCAAGAUUGACGCUCAUGCACGAAAGCGUGGGGAGCAAACAGGAUUAGAUACCCUGGUAGUCCACGCCCUAAACGAUGUCUACUAGUUGUCGGGUUUUAAUUAACUUGGUAACGCAGCUAACGCGUGAAGUAGACCGCCUGGGGAGUACGGUCGCAAGAUUAAACUCAAAGGAUUGACGGCUGAGACGNGCGAGACGACGACGAGGGAGGAGG